UACAGGGGGUGCUAGCGUUGUUCGGAAUUACUGGGCGUAAAGGGCGCGUAGGUUGUUUCGCAAGUCAGAAGUGAAAUCCCGGGGCUUAACUCCGGAAUUGCUCCUGAUACUGCGGGGCUAGAGUGUAUUAGAGGAUGGCGGAAUUCCUAGUGUAGAGGUGAAAUUCGUAGAUAUUAGGAAGAACACCGGUGGCGAAGGCGGCCAUCUGGGAUACAACUGACACUGAGGCGCGAAAGCGUGGGGAUCAAACAGG
rnacentral:rRNA from 1 species